GAAAGGACCACAAGAACUGCUAAUUCAAAAGCCUGAUGCUAAACCCUCAGACCUUUC
rnacentral:tRNA from 1 species